UCCUCCGUGGCGCAAUUGGCUAGCGCGUUCGACUGUUAGUGCGAGUUCUCAUGCUCACUGCAAUCGAGAGGUUCCUAGUUCAAGCCUAGGCGGGGGAG